GUAGUAAGUAUAAAGAAAAAUAAGGAAAAUAAGAAUGUAUUCAAAAGAAAAAUACUAAAUCAUAAAUUGCUGGGAGGAACAAAUUUUCAUAUACGCAGACCAUACAAAUUUUUUAGUUUCUUUUAUUCGACACAGCCUAAGUUUGUUUGGCUAAAAGAAGUAUUUUCCUUAAUUUUAAGAGAUCAGAAAGUUAACAGUAAUUAAGAAAGAAGUAUAUAAUUAAUAUAUUUAAAUAUGGAAUGUAUUUGCCCAGUUUCCUAAUUAUGGUGAAACAGCAACACAUUGAUUAUGAAAACUUAAGACAAAUUCAUUUCAUUAAAAAAUCCCAAUUGAAUCAUCUCCUUUCUGUAGGACAACUUUCCAGUCACCAAUUUUGUAAAUGAAUUAUGACAACUGCUCAAUUUUAUUAACAAAUACAAUAAGAAAUAUAAUUAACAUUUGCUCAAUGCUUACUCAUCAGACAGGUGGAGUGCUUAAUAUAUAUUUAGAGACCACUUUUUUGAAAUAACACUCAUAUCAGGUUAAAAUCAUUAUUCAUUUUAUAUCAUAGGUUUUCUAUGAAGUUUGGAGAAAUCCAUGCAAAAUACUUGAGUAACCUAAAAUAUGACAUAAGCAAAUCACGGAGUAGUGUAUCACAAUGUUCCUUACUGCAGCUACCAUGAAUUAUUACUAUUAUUAUUAUUAUCAUUAUUAUUUUAGCUUUUUAGGGCUACACCUGCCGCAUAUGCAAGUUCCCAAGCUAGGAGUCAAACUGGAGCUGUAGCUGCUGGCCACAGCCACAGCCAAAGCAAUGCCAGAUCUGAGCCACGUCUGCGACCUACACCACAGCUCACCAGAACACCAGAUCCUUAACCCACUGUGCAAGGCCAGGGAUUGAACCUGCACCCUCAUGGAUACUAGCUGGAUUCGUUAUCACUGCACCACAACAGGAACUCCAACCAUGACUUAAUUCUUAAUGCCACAGCAAUUCCCAAUUUAAAGACUACGUACAAACACCACGAAGUUAAACCUAAAAAAUGUGGGAUAAACCCCCACUAUUCUAUUGCCUGGGUUUAGGUUCUAGGGCAUCUCAGUUUUCUGAGGUCUAAGGAGGUUGAUAAGGCCCGAUAUUGCUCUGGUUACCGCAAUUAUCUUUUUUUGCCUGGAAAUUUUUGAACUGAAUCUCACUCAAUUUCCAGGACAAACUCAAAAGAGGUAAUUCUUAAGGAACAUUGGCAAUAGCACACAAUAAGUAUAUUAUAUAUCAUAUAUAUCAUAUGCUAUAUAUACACAUAUAAUCUGUAAUAUCAUUACCAAAACACUAUGGAUUUGGCUAAAAUUGUGAAGAAUUCAGUGGAGGAAUUGAGAAAGAUCGUCAAUGGUACCCAUUAAUCCACAUUCCAAUGCACUAUUCACUGCACUCAUGGAUUACAAGUUUGAACUGAAUAUAAAUAAAAAUAUAUAUUUCUUUUGGUAUGAAUAACCAUGGGGUUUUCUGAAAAGUAAACGAAAACAUAAUCAUAAGCCAUGAAUGUUCUAAAUUUUUACAUAAAAUAUAAACCAACUCCUAUACCGCUGGCAUUGCAAUAUAAAAUGUACUGUUAUCUUUCAACAAUAUUUCUCAUAAAAUAACCCUGGAAGAUAUCCUCCAGGUAUUUCACUGGUUAAAAAUGGGAUGUGAUGGGGAAGCAAUGUUUAUGGGAGAUUAUUGAAUACGUCGUUAUAAAUCAUUUAUUUAUUUUAGCAAUCAUGUAAAAAUGACUGGAUCCCAACAAAUAAAUAAGAUUUUUCUUCUCAUUUUGGGGGACUUCAGCAAAUCUAUAAUCUUCUACAAAUCCUGAGAUUUCAGGAUUGUAAAAGGUGAUAACAGAACCUGCUGUUAAUGUUAGUAAAGAAUACAGAAGUAGUCGUAGUAUUAGUAAAAGCAGGAGGAGCAGCAGCAGCAAUAGGUAACAGAAGCAAUAACAGUAGUAGUAACUUAAGUAUCAGCGAAUGAUGCACCUGGGGCUCCCAGGCUAGUACCUGUGGCCCUGGUGCCACAAAUUCUGCAGAAAAUCUGCCUACUGGUUAAAUUCAACCUCAAUUGCAAGCUGUCUUUUUUCUUUUUUUCUUUUUUUUUUUUUUUCCAUAAAAAAGAAACCCAGGGCAGCCUUGGAUGAACAGAAAGUAAAAUCCUCCAGAACUUGGUAGGAAGUGGUUCUCAACAUUCCAAUGAAUCCUUGUGAAACGAAGUUAGUAACUUGCUUGAAUAUCACCAAAAAGGACCAUAAAGACCACAAAGACUUUGGAAACAAGAUUUUUUUUUGAAACAAAAAAUACACAUUCAUCUGCUAGAAAUACACUCUGCUGUGCAGACUGUCACAAAGCAAGCAGCAUAAUUUUCUUGAGUUGAAAAUGGCUGGGUUGCAUAACUGAUCAUGUUCUCAUAUCAGAGGAUAAGUGCACGAAAAUUUUUUAAAGAUAUCUAUGUUCCACAAAUUCCUAACUUUGUAUCUUAUAAUCAAAACUCAAUGUACUUUAUUAAAGAAAACUUAAGAAAAUGAAGUUACUAAUUUACCAAUGAAGAUAAACAGUUUUGACUGUUCAAGAAAUAGAUAAAAUGAGUAAGGCGCAUAAUUUAUCUUCCCCUUUCCUAAACAGAACAUCAACAGUUACAGCAAUUUUUAAAUAAAAGUAAAUCUUAACCAAUCACUUCUUGGACAGCCAUAAAAAAUGCACUUCACUUCAGGAAUUCCCAUCAUGGCUCAGUGGUUAAUGAACCCAACUAGUAUCCAUAGGACACAGGUUCCAUCCCUGGCCUCGCUCAGUGGGUUAAGGAUCCGGCGUUGCCACAAGAUAUGGUGUAGGUCGCAGACGUGGCUCGGAUCCCACAUUGCUGUGGCUGUGGUGUAGGCUGGCAGCUCUAGCUCCAAUUCAACCCCUAGCCUGGGAACCUCCAUAUGCCUCCAUACUCUGCCUGUGUUUUCACAGAAGCCUCCAACCCCCUCUUGAUACAGAAAACAUCAAGAUUCUACAUUCAACCCACGUCUUGAGGGUUAACUGAGCUAAAAUAUGUGAAGUGUAACCCACAAAAUGUCACAGACGCAGUGACAGUCACUCACAUACAGCUUCCCUACCCAACAUAAUACAUCCAUUCCUGGCGAUGAGUUUGGAGACUCUUUACCUAUCUCCUGGGUAUCAAUUAACCACACAAUUUACCUGCCAUUUAGGAUGAGAAGGUCUCUAGCGUCUCAGAGUGAGGCGUUUACCAAGGCUACAAUACAGCAGCAACAACACUCCACAAUAACGACCAAAAGCCGAGAUCCUUGAAGUGAACAUCUUGGUUCUCAAGUUCAACUGUGGACAAAUGGGUGAGGCCUUGGUCCAAACGUUAAGCAUGCUCUCUGAUUCACUCUGUCAAGACAGGAUGUGGAGUUUGCUUUUAAUUGUGUGAAGCUUCAUACACGUUUCUCACCCAACACACCAAAAACUGAUGAAAAUUAACCAAAAAUCAUGACCACCGUUAAGUUGCUUUAAUAAGUUAGGUGGACAAAUAAGAUAUACAAAAAUGAACAGCUUCCCUUAGUACCCACAAUAAUUGUUUUUAAGACGUAUUUAGGCGCUACUGAUUUUGAUAAUGAGGAAAAGGUAAUUCAGAUUAACAUUCCCGCAUUGGAUAACUAAAUAAGCAAAAUAUAUUUACAGCUCCUCUUGAACGUCUCAAUAACCUAUCGAGUUAGCAAAAGCCUGGCAAAAUCUAGGACACAAGAACUUCGAGAGGUAUUAUGCCCAGGACUCAAAGGAACUUUGCACAGAUGGGUUUGGCUUCCACUAAUGACCAACUGCAAGUCUAUUUUCCAUACAAUUCCCAGUUAUGCUUUUAAAACAUGAGUCAGAACAUGAUAGUCCUCUGCUCAAAACCCUUCAUCAACUUUUCCUUAAAAGAAGCAAAACCGACUCACAGACAUUGAAAAACUUACGGUCUCCGGAGGAGACAGUUUGGGGGGUGGGGGGAUGUGCCUGGGCUGUGGGAUGGAAAUCCUGUGAAAUCAGAUUGUUAUGAUCAUUAAACAACUACAGACGUGAUAAAUUCAUUUGAGUAAUUAAUUAAAUAAAUAAAUAAAUAAAAGAAGCCAAACCCUGGCCUUAGAAGAAGCCUUUCUGUGAUCUGCCCUGCCUCCUUACACUCCCCCACCCCCGCUGCCUUCCUUGAAGUCUCUGCUAAAUGCCACCCCCCACUACGUGGCCCUUCCCUGACCCUUUCCCCAUCUCUUUCUAGACUCCGACACUGCUUUUUUCUUCUGAAUACUUACUUUUUGGGUUGCUUACUGUCUGUCUCUUGGGACUAGGAUAAAAGCAACAUCAGCUGCUUUCUUCACUUCCGUGUCUGUUAAUAUCUAAAACAGGGCCUGGCAGACAGUAGGUUCUUGAAAAUACUUGCUGAUUUAGCCAACAAAAGGUAACAAGGUCCUACCAUUACAAGGGUUAAAUGACAGCUCAUAGGAGAUGCAAUAAUUCCAAUGAUUUUAGGUAAAUUGGACUUUUACAGAUUACUAAUAUAGUUAAAUACUCAUUUUACACCAUACACCAGAAUUCAUUCAAGAUGAAUUCAAAGUUAAGUUUCAAAAUAUACCUGCAUCAACUCACUGAUUAAAAGGCAUGUGAAGGAUGUAUUAUUAGCAAGAUAAUGUUAUUACAGAACAAUGUAUGUAGCAUAAUCCCAUCUAUGUAAGAAAAAUCGACAAGAAACAUAUACAGAAAUAUAACUAGAUAUAGAGAGAGAGAUACGCAUGGACAUCUGUGGGAAACAAUGCAUUUGCUUUAGCUUGGAAAAAUCUGUGGACAUGUUCCUGAGAGUUUACCCUAAGUAUCAGAAUUCAGGAGCAGGAAUAGGAGAGAGAGAAAGUUAAGGUUUUUUUCCUAAUGUGUUUUGCAUCUUACACUUGAUAACAAAUACAAAUUUAUAAUUGGCAGAAAAAUCAAGAAAAAGUUGACCGCAAACCAGUGCAACUCAUUGUAUUACCUUCAACUCAGUGCUUAUCCUCUCUCCAAGCCUCCAGAGUCUCCAUUUCUAAAAAAGGAGAUGUUAAGGCAUACUCUAAUUAGCAAUUAACAUUUACAGAACACUUAUGUAGAUGUCAGCCUGAGUGCUGAGUGCUUUAUAUGGAUUAUUUUAUUAAAUCCUUAACCCCCCCCAACAAACACUGUCAUAUAUAAAAUUACAGUCCUCUUGACACAGAUUUGAAAUGAGAAACAGAACAGAUAUAAUAUGUGAAAAUAACUUUGUCAACUCCAAGACAACGCACAAACUUUUGGACUAAUCAUCACAACAUUUGACUUUUUAUGUAACAGUAAACAUCUAUAUGUGAUAUAGCUCUUUCCUAGUUAUAGCCUCUAUUCCUUUCUGGCAGGAAAUAAGUUUUAUACUUAUUGAAUUCAACACCAAAUGUUAAAUUGCUAUUCUUUUUGCCUAAUACAUGUAAUUUACAUGUAUUUGUACCUUAUAUAUGUAAAUUACAUAUAAUUUUAUAUAUACAUAUAUAAAGUCAUCCAUGAAAGGAAAAAAAAUCAAAUGCACAGGAAUAAUCACAUCAAGAAUUGUUCUAGGAGUUCCCAUCAUGGCUCAGUGGUUAACGAAUCCGACUAGGAACUAUGAAGUUGCGGGUUCGGUCCCUGGCCUUGCUCAGUGGGUUAAGGAUCUGGCGUUGCCAUGAGCUGCGGUAUAGAUCACAGAUGUGGCUCGGAUCCCACGUUGCUGUGGCUCUGGUGUAGGCUGGUGGCUACAGCUCCGAUUGGACCCCUAGCCUGGGAACCUCCAUAUGCUGCAGGUGCGGCCCUAGAAAAGGCAAAAAAAAAAAAAA
rnacentral:lncRNA from 1 species